rnacentral:misc_RNA from 1 species
UCUUCUCUCUCAUUUCCCACUAGUUUCCGUCUUCCCGCAUUAAUUCUUCCUCUGAGCUCUUCACCCAGAUCCAGUAGCUGUUAUUGGAUUCUGCUUAGUCACUGACACAAAGGAAUGGAAAGGUGAAGCUGUGGUGCUUUGUGUGUGUUUGUUUUGGAAAAGCAAAUGGAAAACUUAUCUCAAAUGAGCUAAACAGUAGUGUUGAAGCUGAGACUCUUCAUAAAGUAUAUAUCUUUUGAAGCUUUUCCUUCAUUUUCUUGGCAACUAAACAGCUGAGCACACCAGGUUUUUGGAUUUUGAGCAAGUAUAAUGAAUGUUAUUUGAGUUCUGAAAAAGGAAAGGAAGUUGGAUUAACUUGUUUUCUUUUGUUACGUGAUCUUUGAUUAGUUUUAUCAUAGCGAGGUAGAGAAAAGCAGGUGUUUAGUCUUGGUUUGCUGGUUUAGUUGAGGCUGGGUUUUGUCCCUUUUGGGUUUCUGCCCCUCUGUUCAUUUUAUUUUUUUUGUCGUUAUGUUCUAUGGAAGUAAACUGAGGGGCUAUAAAUGUUGGUUGCGCCCUUACAAUCUGUUUGGUUACUGAGAAAAUGAGAUAACUGAAGGGAAAGAAAACCUGAAUGAAAUGAUGUCUU